GAAACCGGAGCUAAUACCGGAUAAUAUUUGAACCGCAUGGUUACAAAGCGAAAGACGGUCUUGCUGUCACUUAUAGAUGGAUCUGCGCUGCAUUAGCUAGUUGGUAAGGUAACGGCUUACCAAGGCAACGAUGCAUAGCCGACCUGAGAGGGUGAUCGGCCACACUGGAACUGAGGCACGGUCCAG
rnacentral:rRNA from 1 species